UACGUAGGGUGCAAGCGUUAAUCGGAAUUACUGGGCGUAAAGCGUGCGCAGGCGGUUGGGCAAGACAGUUGUGAAAUCCCCGGGCUCAACCUGGGAACUGCAUCUGUGACUGCAUAGCUAGAGUACGGUAGAGGGGGAUGGAAUUCCGCGUGUAGCAGUGAAAUGCGUAGAUAUGCGGAGGAACACCGAUGGCGAAGGCAAUCCCCCUGGACCUGUACUGACGCUCAUGCACGAAAGCGUGGGGAGCAAACAGG
rnacentral:rRNA from 1 species